UGAGUCCCGCUGGAUGCCAAGUCAGAUGAUUAGGGGUGCCCUGUCAAUUCGUUUAUUUAUUUAUUUAUUUAUUUAUUAUUUUUUUGUACAUUUAAUUGCACAUUGCUAUCAAUUAUCAAUCCCAACAACUAUUUGAUUGAAAUGUGUUACACUUGCAAUGUUUUCUAACAAAAGAAAUAAAAUUUGACAUGAUAUAUAUGAUUGAUUGCCUAUAGAAUCCAUGAUCAUAUAAUUCAUCCUUGAUUAAAUGUGAUUAAAAGUAUGGAAUUAUAGGUUAUGAGAUUAGGUAGUACUUCAGAACAUACAAUAGUUGCUCUACAAUCAAGGAAAAGUUGUCCAGCUUCAACAACCUCAACUUCUGGACAAGGUUACACUGAUGCAUUGCCCACCAUGAACCACUUGUCCCAUUUGCAUCAAUCACCAUUCAACAACAAUGAGUGUGCAAUAAUUUGUAAACACCAAUGACCAUCUCAUCCUGAAGAGCACUUACAAAAAAAGCUAACAAAACAAGUGCUCCAGAACCCAGGCACAGAGAAGGUUUUGAAUAGUCUUUCCACAAAACAAAACAAAAUAAAACAAGGUCGUAGAAAGAGUUACAGUGAUGAAGGGACAGAAACUUCAUAACAUGUGUAAUUAAGAAGAGGGUGCAACAAGUUGCUGUGGAAGGGUUUUGAAUAGUCUAUCCACUUGGAAUUUCGAAUGGUCUAUCCACCUUGAACACAGCAAAGGUUCAAUCCUAGUAUAAUUCCAUGUACCUGCAGAAUGUUUACCAUAUUCUUGAACACUGCAACAUG
rnacentral:lncRNA from 1 species